rnacentral:sRNA from 1 species
AGACUAGCGGGCCGGCGUACUGGCCUGGUCCAGCACCUGCAGGGCCUUCGGGCUUGGAGGGCUGGGCCGGGCGGGGAACGGGCGGGGCGGGCCGGAGGCGGCGGCGGCUGACUCGCCUUCUCUCCGGGGCUGCGACCCCGAGGCAACCGGCUGCAGAUGGGAGCCCGCGGAGCCGAGGAUGCGGGCGGGCCGGGGCGCGACGCCGGCGAAGGAGCUGUUCCGGGACGCCACCUUCCCCGCCGCGGACUCCUCCCUCUUCUGCGACUUGUCUACGCCGCUGGCCCAGUUCCGCGAGGACAUCACGUGGAGGCGGCCCCAGGAGAUUUGUGCCACACCCCGGCUGUUUCCAGAUGACCCACGGGAAGGGCAGGUGAAGCAGGGGCUGCUGGGGGAUUGCUGGUUCCUGUGUGCCUGCGCCGCGCUGCAGAAGAGCAGGCACCUCCUGGAACAGGUGCGGGGCCCCUUCCCUGUGUUUGUCCUGGAGCUGGUUUCUUUUUGCGUUUCUCCAGCCUGCUGAGUACCAGGAGCCCUUGCGAAAGCAGAGCUGUGCCGCAGCCGGAUCUCCUGCUGUGUUGGGGGAAGGCAGGAGAGUUCCAAGGCAGAGGCUGAGGACUGCACUCUGUCCCUCUGCUGCAGGAGGGGGUGCCUUGGCCUCGCCAGAAGGCUCCAUCAGGGAAGUUCGCCCUGCUCUGUGCUCUCCUGACCCCCGGACUCCAUGGAGUCAGAUCACCACAUUUAGAAUAAAGAGACAAAUGUGCCAGCUCACAGGAGGACGGGGCUGGCUGGC